AACGAACGCUGGCGGCAGGCUUAACACAUGCAAGUCGAGCGCGUAGCAAUACGAGCGGCAGACGGGUGAGUAACGCGUGGGAACGUACCCUUUACUACGGAAUAGCUCCGGGAAACUGGAAUUAAUACCGUAUGUGCCCUUUGGGGGAAAGAUUUGUCGGUAAAGGAUCGGCCCGCGUUGGAUUAGCUAGUUGGUGGGGUAAUGGCCUACCAAGGCGACGAUCCAUAGCUGGUCUGAGAGGAUGAUCAGCCACAUUGGGACUGAGACACGGCCCAAACUCCUACGGGAGGCAGCAGUGGGGAAUAUUGGACAAUGGGCGCAAGCCUGAUCCAGCCAUGCCGCGUGAGUGAUGAAGGCCUUAGGGUUGUAAAGCUCUUUCACCGGAGAAGAUAAUGACGGUAUCCGGAGAAGAAGCCCCGGCUAACUUCGUGCCAGCAGCCGCCGUAACAC
rnacentral:rRNA from 1 species